UACGGGGGGGGGUAAGCGUUGUUCGGAAUUACUGGGCGUAAAGGGCUCGUAGGCGGCCAACUAAGUCAGACGUGAAAUCCCUCGGCUUAACCGGGGAACUGCAUCUGAUACUGGAUGGCUUGAGAUUGGGAGAGGGAUGCGGAAUUCCAGGUGUAGCGGUGAAAUGCGUAGAUAUCGGGAGGAACACCAGUGGCGAAGGCGACUACCUGGCCUGUUCUUGACGCUGAGGCGCGAAAGCUGGGGGAGCAAACGGGG
rnacentral:rRNA from 1 species